UAGGGAAUCUUCGGCAAUGGACGAAAGUCUGACCGAGCAACGCCGCGUGAGUGAAGAAGGUUUUCGGAUCGUAAAACUCUGUUGUUAGAGAAGAACAAGGACGUUAGUAACUGAACGUCCCCUGACGGUAUCUAACCAGAAAGCCACGGCUAACUACGUGCCAGCAGCCGCGGUAAUACGUAGGUGGCAAGCGUUGUCCGGAUUUAUUGGGCGUAAAGCGAGCGCAGGCGGUUUCUUAAGUCUGAUGUGAAAGCCCCCGGCUCAACCGGGGAGGGUCAUUGGAAACUGGGAGACUUGAGUGCAGAAGAGGGGAGUGGAAUUCCAUGUGUAGCGAUGAAAUGCGUAGUUAUAUGGAGGAACACCAGUGGCGAAGGCGGCUCUCUGGUCUGUAACUGACGCUGAGGCUCGAAAGCGUGGGGAGCAAACAGG
rnacentral:rRNA from 1 species